CUUGGCAACAUACAAUGGAGGAAGUUUACAAAGAACUGACCUGCCCCCUUUCACCUGCCGCUGUGCCAGAAAAUCCACACAAGCUGCACAAGGUUUACAGGAAGUGGAGUCACUUGUUACAUGGAGGCAGACUCGCUGCCAGUGAAGUGAUUUUGUUUUCACUGAUACCGACAAAACAAGGACUUAAUAGUCAUGGAUACCAUCUCUGCUGCCCUGGCUUGUUGCCUUCUGGCUAUUUCUAUCGCUGUGGUACAAGCGGAGAAUAACACUGCUAUCAGUCCUGCAUUACCAACCCCUAGCUCAAACCCGACAAACGUAACCACAGCAGCACCUUCACCUGCUGAGCGUGUAACUGUUAUCUCAAAUUUGACUGAAAACACAACUGCUUUUACCAGCACAGCCCCAGACAGUGAGACAUACACAGGAAUUACAGCAGCGACAAAUGAGAGCACAGGUCACCCGUCUCAGCCAACCACCAUCAUGACUCCUCUAACAAACACCACAUCACAAACAACCACAACACCUGGCAAUCACACAACAACAUCCACUGCACAGACAGCAACACAGCCCCCAGCAGGUAACACGAGCACGCCGGCUGCUACAGUCAUUGCAACAGAUCCAUCACACACCGUCAUCACAACGUCAGGUUCAAUGAACAGAACCACACAGGGGUUGCGACUGAACAUUUCAGAAACAAAUAUGACUGUUAUUUUCAGCGUUGUACUCGGAGUAUUCACUCUAGCAUUGGUUGGGUUAAUGUUUCACAGAUGCCAACAUAAAAUCCAAUACUCGCAUCAACCUCUCAAUAACACGGCAGAUGCAUUUGUGGCAGACGAUGACACACUGGUGAUUUCUGGAGGACUCUAUGAUGGCCACCCGAUAUACGACAACGUUCCGACAGACCCAGCGGCAGACCAAUCUCAAUUCCGUCUCCAGUUCCUUCAUUGAGGACAGAGUUCCUGCAGUUUUGGAGCUCGAAAGGAUGGACAAAACAAGUUUCCUCUUCCACAAAUUAGUAGUUUCAGGACUGAUAUUUCACGAGAGGAGAGCGAAACAAAGAUCGGCAGAACAUUGAAACAAGGACAAUGCUGAUUGAUUGAACAUCAAUUUUACUCAUUAAGCUGUCAAUACUAGAACACAGAAAUACUUGAAAUAUAUUACGAUAGCAACACAUAACUACAUUUCUCACAACAAUAUAAACGUGGGCAGAUCAAAUUGAUUUCAUGUGGACCCCAGUAAAGAUAAGUCUUUCCAUUCAGCAGAACUACAACCGAGAGCGGAUUCUGCGCUCAUUUAAAUCUACGUUAACAAACAAACUUGCUUGAACGGCUGGAACACUUUUCCAUAACAACACUGUUUAACUGAUCAACCUAUCAAAUCUUUGAUGCAUGUAAAGAAAUAAAUUGGCCUUUUGUUAUUAAUUAUAGAGUCUGCAAAAUUCUGAACAAUGCUAUGAAUGAAUGAUAACAAAAUUGAAACAUCAAAACCGGACUAACACGUGUAGGGUUGUCUGUCCUCUACUACUUAUGCAAAGGUCUUGUCAUUGGAUGUCUUCUUCUUUUUGUCCCAGCCUGUAACAGCCGUCCAGCCAGCAUCUCGCAUCCUUUUCAUUGCUGCUAACUUCAGAGAGUUCCCCGGUGAUUUUUGAGUGAGGGGGCUCUGAAUCUGAAAAAACGUUGAUCCAUUUUUUUAUGAAUAAAAAUGACAUGGGA